rnacentral:rRNA from 1 species
GGCUCAGAUUGAACGCUGGCGCCAUGCCUAACACAUGCAAGUCGAACGGUAACAGGUCUUCGGAUGCUGACGAGUGGCGGACGGGUGAGUAACGCGUAGGAAUCUGUCUUUGAGUGGGGGACAACCCAGGGAAACUUGGGCUAAUACCGCAUAAGCCCUGAGGGGGAAAGCAGGGGAUCUUCGGACCUCGCGUUGGAAGAGGAGCCUACGUCUGAUUAGCUAGUUGGUAGGGUAAAGGCCUACCAAGGCGACGAUCGGUAGCUGGUCUGAGAGGACGACCAGCCACACUGGGACUGAGACACGGCCCAGACUCCUACGGGAGGCAGCAGUGGGGAAUUUUUCGCAAUGGGGGCAACCCUGACGAAGCAAUGUCGCGUGAAUGAAGAAGGCCUUCGGGUUGUAAAGUUCUUUCGUGGAGGACGAAAAGGUGGGUGCUAAUAUCGCCUGCUGUUGACGUGAAUCCAAGAAGAAGCACCGGCUAACUCCGUGCCAGCAGCCGCGGUAAUACGGGGGGUGCAAGCGUUAAUC